rnacentral:rRNA from 1 species
AUUGAACGCUGGCGGCAGGCUUAACACAUGCAAGUCGAGCGAGCGGCGGACGGGUGAGUAAUGUCUGGGAAACUGCCUGAUGGAGGGGGAUAACUACUGGAAACGGUAGCUAAUACCGCAUACCAUCAGAAGUGCCCAGAUGGGAUUAGCUAGUAGGUGGGGUAAUGGCUCACCUAGGCGACGAUCCCUAGCUGGUCUGAGAGGAUGACCAGCCACACUGUAACGGAGACACGGUCCAGAUUCCUACGCGACGAAGCGGUGGGGAAUAUUGCACAAUGGGCGCAAGCCUUGUGCGGCCAUGCCGCGUGUGUGAAGAAGGCCUUCGGGUUGUAAAGCUCUUUCAGUGAGGAGGCUUUACUCGCAGAAGAAGCACCGGCUACCUCCGUGCCAGCAGCCGCGGUAAUUC